AAUCAUGGUGAUGGCUAACCAGGACUCCCUGACCUAUACUGAUCACUGCUAUCUAUGGGAGUGACGGCCAGUUCUGGUGUCUGAGUGAUU
ensembl:snoRNA SNORD86 small nucleolar RNA, C/D box 86